rnacentral:rRNA from 1 species
GACAGAGGGUGCAAACGUUGUUCGGAAUUACUGGGCGUAAAGCGUGUGUAGGCGGCCACGUAAGUCGGAUGUGAAAGCCCUCGGCUCAACUGAGGAAGUGCACCCGAAACUGGCGAGCUUGAGUACGAAAGAGGAUCGCGGAAUUCCUGGUGUAGAGGUGAAAUUCGUAGAUAUCAGGAGGAACACCAGUGGCGAAGGCGGCUUUCUGGACGAUAACUGACGCUGGAGAACGCGAAAGCGUGGGGAGCAAACGGG